UACAGAGGAUGCAAGCGUUAUCCGGAAUGAUUGGGCGUAAAGCGUCUGUAGGUGGCUUUUUAAGUCCGCCGUCAAAUCCCAGGGCUCAACUCUGGACAGGCGGUGGAAACUACCAAGCUGGAGUACGGUAGGGGCAGAGGGAAUUUCCGGUGGAGCGGUGAAAUGCGCAGAUAUCGGGAAGAACACCCGUGGCGAAGGCGGCUCCCUGGGACGGUACUGACGCUGAGACGCGAAAGCGUGGGG
rnacentral:rRNA from 1 species